UACAUGGAUAGUCAAUUCUCCCUCAAUGUCGUCGUUGGCUUUUGUCAUUCAUUGUGCGACGAAUUCAAUGAAAGCCAACAGCAAGUCUCCCUCAACUCGGUAUCGCAGCUAAAGGGAAGCUCGUUUAAUUGAAACUCGAAUCGCGUCUCUCUGUAAUCCAAAAGGGCGACAUUCGUAUGCCACGCGAAUAUUUAGUUAGAUAUUUAUAGAUCCACCUCAGAUGCGUGUUUGUGAAAUAGAGACACAGAGAACAUAGCAGUGACAAUAGGAACCAGGUAUCAUCGUUACGGCCAUGUUUGUCUGUGGGUUCUGUAAACCACCGUCAGUGGCGCCACCGCAGGAACCGCCGCCUGACCAGUGCUCUGUUGCCGUUACUUCUUCUUUCUCCAGCAAUGUAACUUCUCUCAGUCCCUUUGGCUUUUACCGUUUAUAAAUUAUGAUAACUUCAUUUGAAAUGGGUUUUCAUAAAUAUUUGAAGAAACACGACGGGCGUUGCCGUUUCCACGAUCAAAUUGUGCAAUACUGGGAGCGUAACUCCUUUAAAUAAAGUAAAGCGCUAAUGGAUUCUCUCUCAGUUCUUCACCAGCAUACUAUACACGGAAUCGCAUGCAGUCUGAACGUGGUCGAAGCCGGAGGACCCAGGUGCCAGGACUCGCACGACCCGUAAAACGGAAGGGAGACAAGAGGAGCCCAGGCAUCCAUUUUCCAGGAGGAACAUGGCCGCGCAACAAGACUUGUCUCUGUACGUGCAGGAUGCUGUAGCUGGCCAAAAAUUCCAAAAAGAAAAGAUAAAACCGUUAACGUGGUAAUACAGUAGUGUCGGAGGGAGCCACCGUCGCGUUACUUGGUAAGGUCGGCAGGCAGCUUGAAAUAUAGCGAAAUAAAAUAACGCUACCCGGAGGGACAUUAUAAAUAGUACUACCCUUUGUCCUGGCAACAUGCUACGAAACAAUAAAAAUUUUUACUCUCCUAUCCAACAGGGAUAUAUACAUGUAUAUAUAUAUAUCCUUGUCUAUGUAUACACAUAUGCAGACAUACAUAGCCGCUCUCGGCUUUCUCGAGAUAAAUCCUAAAUUAUCCUGGGCCAAUUACUCCCGUGAAAUAUUGUUAUCUUCCGUGCUGCGAGGAAUGUCCGAAUUUUCCAAAAUUGCCAAGAGAUCUGCUGAACAAGAGGAGCCUACCCGCAUGGACCUAGUAUGUUAUUGUAUUACAAAAACUGUGUCUUCCCGGCGAUGGUAUUACUGAGAAAUUCUAUUAAGACUAUUUUUC